rnacentral:lncRNA from 1 species
UUGUUUUAAAUCCACAUAUGCCCAUUUUCACGUCAAAAUAGAGCAAGAAAUGAUUUUUUUCUUUUUUUAUUUUUCUCUUUCUCAGCUGAAACAGGGGAGACCUUUGUGCCGUUGAUACCAAAUCCUCCCCAGCACACCAAAGCCUCCCAGAUCAUCGCUUCAAAGCAAUGCUCCCAAAUCCUCCGCGAUCGAUUCCCAGCUCCAAACCGUGAUCGACUCCCA